rnacentral:rRNA from 1 species
UACGAAGGGAGCGAGCGUUGUUCGGAAUCACUGGGCUUAAAGCGUGCGUAGGCGGAUUGGUAAGUAAGAAGUGAAAUCCCAGGGCUUAACCCUGGAACUGCUUUUUAGACUGCCUGUCUGGAAUUCGGUAGAGGUUGGUGGAACUCCUAGUGUAGAGGUGAAAUUCGCAGAUAUUAGGAAGAACACCGGUGGCGAAGGCGACCAACUGGACCGAUAUUGACGCUGAGGCACGAAAGCGUGGGUAGCAAACAGGGAUU